rnacentral:rRNA from 1 species
UGGGGAAUAUUGGACAAUGGGGGAAACCCUGAUCCAGCGACGCCGCGUGUGUGAAGAAGGCCUGCGGGUUGUAAAGCACUUUUAGUGGGGAUGAAAAGUUCAGGGCUAAUACCUCUGGAUCUUGACCUAACCCAAAGAAAAAGCACCGGCUAACUCUGUGCCAGCAGCCGCGGUAAUACAGAGGGUGCAAGCGUUAAUCGGAAUUACUGGGCGUAAAGCGUGCGUAGACGGUUAUGUAAGUCAGGUGUGAAAGCCCCGGGCUCAACCUGGGAAUGCCAUUUGAGACUGCAUAGCUAGGGUACGGAAGAGGGAAGCGGAAUUUCAGGUGUAGCGGUGAAAUGCGUAGAUAUCUGAAGGAACACCAGUGGCGAAAGCGGCUUCCUGGUCCAGUACCGACGUUCAGGCACGAAAGCGUGGGGAGCAAACAGGAUUAGAUACCCGCGUAGUCC